UUCCCCCUUAGAGUUUGAUCCUGGCUCAGGAUGAACUGCUGGCGGCGUGCCUAACACAUGCAAGUCGAACGAAGCAUUUCUGACGGAGACUUCGGUUGAAGAUGGGAAUGACUUAGUGGCGGACGGGUGAGUAAUGCGUGAGCAACCUGCCUUAAAGAGGGGGACAACAGCUGGAAACGGCUGCUAAUACCGCAUAACAUAUUUGGGAGGCAUCUCCCGGGUAUCAAAGGAGCAAUCCGCUUUAAGAUGGGCUCACGUCUGAUUAGUUAGUUGGCAGGGUAACGGCCUACCAAGACUGCGAUCAGUAGCCGGACUGAGAGGUUGAACGGCCACAUUGGGACUGAGAUACGGCCCAGACUCCUACGGGAGGCAGCAGUGGGGAAUAUUGGGCAAUGGGCGAAAGCCUGACCCAGCAACGCCGCGUGAAGGAAGAAGAUUUUCGGAUUGUAAACUUCUUUUAUGAGGGACGAAGGAAGUGACGGUACCUCAUGAAUAAGCCCCGGCUAACUACGUGCCAGCAGCCGCGGUAAUACGUUGGGGGCGAGCGUUAUCCGGAUUUACUGGGUGUAAAGGGCGCGUAGGCGGGAAGGCAAGUCAGAUGUGAAAUCCAUGGGCUCAACUCAUGAACUGCAUUUGAAACUGUCUUUCUUGAGUGUCGGAGAGGUAGACGGAAUUCCUUGUGUAGCGGUGAAAUGCGUAGAUAUAAGGAAGAACACCAGUGGCGAAGGCGGUCUACUGGACGAUAACUGACGCUGAGGCGCGAAAGCGUGGGGAGCAAACAGGAUUAGAUACCCUGGUAGUCCACGCUGUAAACGAUGAAUACUAGGUGUGGGAGGACUGACCCCUUCCGUGCCGCAGUUAACACAAUAAGUAUUCCACCUGGGGAGUACGGCCGCAAGGUUGAAACUCAAAGGAAUUGACGGGGGCCCGCACAAGCAGUGGAUUAUGUGGUUUAAUUCGACGCAACGCGAAGAACCUUACCUGCUCUUGACAUCCCCCUGACCGGCCGGCAAUGCGGCCUUCUCUUCGGAGCAGGGGAGACAGGUGGUGCAUGGUUGUCGUCAGCUCGUGUCGUGAGAUGUUGGGUUAAGUCCCGCAACGAGCGCAACCCUUGUCCUUAGUAGCCAGCAUUUCGGAUGGGCACUCUAGGGAGACUGCCCGGGACAACCGGGAGGAAGGUGGGGAUGACGUCAAAUCAUCAUGCCCCUUACGAGCAGGGCUACACACGUGCUACAAUGGCGUAAACAAAGGGAAGCGAAAGAGCGAUCUGAAGCAAAUCCCAAAAAUAACGUCUCAGUUCGGAUUGCAGGCUGCAACUCGCCUGCAUGAAGCUGGAAUCGCUAGUAAUCGCAGAUCAGAAUGCUGCGGUGAAUACGUUCCCGGGUCUUGUACACACCGCCCGUCA
rnacentral:rRNA from 1 species